rnacentral:rRNA from 1 species
UACGUAGGGUGCAGGCGUUAAUCGGAAUUACUGGGCGUAAAGCGUGCGCAGGCGGUUUUGUAAGUCAGAUGUGAAAUCCCCGGGCUUAACCUGGGAACUGCGUUUGAAACUACAAGGCUAGAGUGUGGCAGAGGGGGGUGGAAUUCCACGGUGUAGCAGUGAAAUGCGUAGAGAUGUGGAGGAACACCGAUGGCGAAGGCAGCCCCCUGGGUUAACACUGACGCUCAGGCACGAAAGCGUGGGGAGCAAACAGG